UUUUUUUUUUUUUUUUUUGGUGGGAGAUAGGAGGGAGGAAGACAUCAUUCUGCCUGCCUAUUAACACAGCCUCAAAAUUUAUAAAGAAAAAAAAGAAACAACUUGGAGAAAUUUACAGAUACAUCAUUUAGUGGAAUGUUUUAACAUAUUUCUCUCAGUAAUUGCCAGAUAAUCAGACUAAAAACAAUCAUUAAAGAUAUUGAAGAUUUGUACAAUAUAAUUAAGCUGAUUAAUAGAUAUUUUUAGAACCUGUAUCCAACAGUUGGAGAAUACUCUUAUGCAAAUGUAAAACAUUUACAAAAAGUGACCACAUACUGGGCCAUAAAGUAAGUCUUAAGAAAUUUUAAACAAUCAGCUUAAUAUACCUCAAAUUCAAAUUAGAAAUCAGUAUUUCAAAAAACAAUAAGGAAGUUUUCACUUAACAUAUACCUAGGGGCACCUGGGUGGCUCAGUGGUUAAGCAUCUGCCUUUGGCCCAUGCUCCCUGGGGUCCUGGAAUCAAGUUCCACAUCAGGACUCCUGCAAAGAGCCUGCUUCCCCCUCUACCUAAGUCUCUGCCUUUCUCUCUGUCUCUUUCAUAAAUAAAUAAAAUCUUAAAUAUAUUAUAUAUAUAUAUAUAUAUAUAUAUAAAUAAUUCAUUGAUUAAACAAAAAAUAAUUGGUAAAGUACUUACACCUGAAGAAAAUAACACCUAUUAGAACUCCCAAGAAUCAACAAUAGUGACAGAAAAUCUAUAAAUUUAAAUGCUUAAAUUAUUAAAAAAAAAAAAAAGCUGAAAGCACUGAACUAAAGCAUCUAAUUUAAGAAUUAGGAAAGGAACAACAAAAUAAACCUAAGGCAGAAUAAAGAAAAUAAAAGAACAGAAAUAAAUUAACUGACAAAGAUUCAACAGAAGUUCAACAAAACUUUUGAUUGCUUGAAAAGCUUAAUAAAAUUGAUAGGGAUGCCUGGGUGGCUCAGUGGUUGAGUGUUUGCCUUUGGCCGAGGGCCUGAUCCUGGAGACCCAGGAUCGAGUCCCACAUCGGGCUCCCUGCAUGGAGCCUGCUUCUCCCUCUGCCUUGUGUCUCUCCCUCUCUCUCUAUUUCUCAUCAAUCAAUAAAUAAAAUCUUUAAAAAAUAAUAAAAUAAAAUUGAUACAUUUCUAGCAACACUGACCAAAUAGAAGAAGAGAACCCCACACAAAAACAGACAAAAAUACAGAUGUAAAAUUCCACAGUAACUGUAUAUUCAACUUUAUUUGAAUUUUAUUUAAAGAGAAAAUGUAAAUAUAACAAUCAUGGAUUCUUUUUCCCAUAAUUAUAUUUGUGUGUGUUUAAAUAUUUCCUCCAAAUUAAAAAAAAAAAAAAAGGAAAUGAGUGAAGACUUCAUGGACAACAGCAAUAAUAAUAAUAAUAAUAAUAAUAAUAAUAAUUGCCUAAUAACACAGUAACAAGAAAUGUGGAGAAUUUACCUCAAAAACUUAAGGAAAUAAAAAUAUCUGAUACACAGAUAUUUGCCACAUUCUGGGACAGUAAAACCUAAUAACAUAAAGAUAUCAAAACUCCCAAAUUAAUUUAUAAGGCAAGUUUAUAAAAUAAAAGGGAUUUUAACCAAAACUCCAAGGAGUUAUUGUGAGGCCAUUUUUAGGCAAACAGGCUUGUGCAAUGCAAUGUAGAAAAGGUCUACAGAGACCCCUGGCUGCACACAGACCCAUCAGAUGACCCACCUCUAAAGAUCCAUAGGCCCUAACUUACAACCCAGCACAGUUACCAAAAAGGGCAAAUGUCAUAUAACACCAUACCUCCUCACCCUCCCCUUUAAAAGCAGCCCCCACCCACUGCCUCCAUGCUGAAGGCCUGUGUUUUGCUGUCCUGCCCACUGCUCCAUUGGGAUAUACUCAAUAAACUUCUGCCUUUGUUCUGCCUCAAGUGAAUUCUUUUAGUUCUGUGCCACUGGCUACAUCUUCACAUCCUCCCCCCGCCCCUGCCAUGAGGACAGAUACCACAUUUAGACAGCAUAAGUUAUUUUAUAAAACACAAAAUAAUUCUGAAGCUAAUUCUAGAGUAAAUGGAAGGUAAUGGCCAAGAAAUUUUGGGAAAAUAACAAGGGAGAUUUGCCCUAAAAACAUUAAAAUGUAAUACAAGAAGAUAAUGCUUUAAAUUUUUUUUUUACUGAUAACAGGGAUUUAAAGACAAAUCAGUGGAACAAAAAAAAAUCUACAAGGGUAAUGUUUCAUAAGAAGUAUGUUAUAAAUUGAUGGAAAAGGAUACACUCUUUUGCAAAGAAAAUACAGAUACAUUUUUAUCCAACUUCUCAUUGUACACAUUAGAUAAAAACCAUGAAGCAAAAAUGAAUCAUUAGGAUGUUACCUGUUGCAAACAAGAAAUCUAUCACAAAUGGCUUAAUUGUAAAGUACAAAGGUAGGUUAUGUUUCAAAGGUUCAUCUUGACCAAAGUUCUGGUUCCACUUUUCUGCUCUGCAUCUGCCCUCAUCAGCAUGUGCCAGCUCCUCCAUAGUAAGGCUUCCGUCACACCUAUGUAAUCUCAGUCCUUCAUCUGUAGGCCUCCUCAUCUAUAGUGGAGCUGCUCUUCCUCCAACCACUGCCUUAAGUCCUAGUUCUACAUCCAACUCAUAACAGUUCCUGGAACAAAGAGAAUGCCCCACAGUUGGACUAGGUCUGAAUUCCAUUCACUGGAAGGGGCCUGGGAUUCUGCCUUUAAAUUCAACCAAACAUAGAGCUUGGGUGAGGUCAUCCAAACUAAACUGUAGUUGCAAAAAAUGGCUGGGGAGAAAGAACUAGAGGUUUGAAAAGCUUACUACAAAGGGAUUGACAAAUUUAGCUAUACAAAAAUGCUAGAUUUCAAUACAGAAAAUAAAUCCACCACUUACAAAAUGAAAGGUAAUGGCACAGUAAGAAAAAUCAUAUAUAUACUGAAAUAAAAUAAUGGUAAAUUCCUAUAUGAUCCCAAGCUUUUGGUAAUAAAAUCUUGGAGGAUUUUACUAACCUAUAUCAUUUGGCAGAAAAGUGGAAUAUAGAUUUCAACAACAGUAACAAGAUGAUAAUUUAGAAAAAAAUUAGAUCUGCUUUAAAAAUAUAUUAAUACUGAAAUCACUAUGACCACUGUUUGAAAAUACAGCCAUAUAGUGUUGGAUGUUCACAGGUAACAGUAACUAAAGGAGACUGUCUACAUGGAAAUGACAUAGUGCUUUGGAUCAUGGAAUCCUGUAAUGUACAGGUCAAUGACAUUAAAGAAAGCCAUAAAGGUGGAAACUGAUCAAAGAAAGAAUAUUACAGGAACAGCAGAAAAUAUGCUUCCACAUGCAUAUUAUACAUUUUAAGAAGCACUCCAAAACCUUUACGAAUGAGACAGAAUAUAAGUAAAAUUAGUCACUUUAUUCAUAAGUGAGGAACACUAUUUUGAAAUAGGUUUUAGAUUGGUUUUGAAAACACAGAUUUUAAAAUAUACAGAGCUUUUUCCAUGAUAAAUGGAAGUUUUAAUUAACAAAAGAUAAUAAGCAGGAUAUAUAAACAGGCUCUAAAACUAAAUUAAAGAUACUAAAUUAUGGUGGAAUUUUAAAGGGAAAUUCAAAAUGUUGAGUUAAUUAAUGUCUUUGGGCAGAAAUCAUAUAGAACAAUGAUUAGUACCUUACGGUGCCACAGGAAACUACAGAAGAACUAAGGUAAUUUUUUUUAGCACCACAAAUCCAGUAUGAAACCACACAUUUUACACAAAGACUAUCACGUGCAGGUAUAAUAUAUGUCAGUCUUUAAAAUGCAUAUACACCAUACAAGCUGGACUUGACAAAUAAAUUUCUAACUUUUUGUUCAAAUCCCCCAUAAGACUUUUACUCAGAGGGGGGAAAAACUGGAUAACAUAACAAGUACUACCUAAAUCUUUUAAAAAUCAAACAGAGAGAAAUAACUACUUUCCAAUAAAACAUUAAUAAAAUAAAUUUCACAGUUGAAAAAUAAGUACAGGGAGAAGAAAACAACAUGCCAAGCAUCUACCAUGCUGCCUACUGCUAAACCAAGUGCCAGGCAGUGAGUAAGACACAAGUGCUAACAGAGGAGGACACACUGCUCUGGACAGGCUGCAAUACAAAAGCAGGUAUGGCCUGAGAGAUCCACAAGGAGACACAGCAGUGAGAAAGUCUUCCCAGAGGACUUUAGAAUGAGCAGUAGUUUUCCAGAGAGAGUAAGUGGAGCAGGUAAUGCCACAGGCUUGGGAAGGCUGGCAGGGAGCACGGAGCAGUAAUUCCUGGCAGAGCAAGUAAACAAACCACACCUGAAACACAAGAGAAGGCAGCUGACAGCUCAAGAGCAAGAGGGACAGUGUAGGUUCCAGGUCAUGCUGGACCUCCCUAUAGGCCAUGUGCUAGAAGGGACAGUGGAAAGGAACUCAAGAGUCUUAAGCUAGCGAAUGGCACAAUUAAGUUUGUUUUAAAAAUAUUGUCUUGGUUGCUGCAUACAGGAUGGACUGCAGAGUACCAGAGUGAAAGCAAGGACAUAAGUAUGAGGUCAUUGCAAUGACCCAACUGAGAGACAGCAGUUGUGUGAACUAAUAUGAUGUCAUUACAGGUGGAGAAAAGUAGGUUAGAGAGAAGUACAGGAGGUAAACGUGGCAAAAUAGUUCCAUAUUAGAUCUAAAUUAUGAAAAAGAGAGAAACAUGUAGCUAGAUGGCGGAUGGUGCCAUCAACCAAAUUAGAGAACCCCUUCUGAAAGGAGAUCAGAUCAGGUUGGCGUCAGGGUGGCAGGGAGAGACUGAAGUUAGUACUGGGUUAGUACUGGGCAUGAAGUGCCUAAAAUAUCUUGUGGAAACGUCAAGUGGACAGGCAGACAACCCUCACACAAUCCCACAGCAGGCACUGACCUCAUGUUAUAGGAGGAAAAAUUAAGGCCCAAAGAGGUCAAGGCCUUUGCCUUAGGCCCCAGAGCUAGCAAACAGUGGAGGGCAUCUUAUAACCCAAACUAUUCUAUCCUGAAAGCCCAAAUCCCUUCCGCACUCCUUCUUUGCUAAGGUGGCUAGGAAUAUGUAAGAAUUUGGAAAAAUGGCCUAAGCAAAAUAGAGGCAAGACAAUAGUCUAAAAAUGAUUGCCUAAUUUCUACCACACUCCCUGAACACUGUGUCAUAUACAUGAACACCUUAUUUUGGGAGAUAGGGCUCUAUGUUGAGGAAGAAGCUGGAAGUGGAAUAAAGGUAACUAGAAAAAGAAAUGUGUUUAAGUAGUAAUUCAAGAUAUAUUAGUAGCUGAAGCUGCAGGGAAAAUGUAGUAGUAAGUGUAUAGAAAUGUAGAGUAUAAUUCAGAAGGCUUUUCUGGAGGUUGUUUUAGGAUUGCCAACAUCCCACUUAGUGCAGGAGUCCCAUCUAGAGAGGGGUGGGCCCUCCAGGGUUUAAAACUCCACAAAUAUUCUUCAAAACAGCCUAAAGUUUUGUUUACGCUAUGCAGCUACUAGUAACGCCCCCAACACAUAUCUACAAGAGGUAGUGAUGAAGUAAAACUGUAAAGCAUUUUAAGAGGUACAAGCCACUCAAUUACAAAAAGCAUUCACACAACUUCACUCAUCUUCUGCAUGUUCUUCUAAUUGAUUCUCCUGAUUUGGGGAAGGAUUUGGGGCAGCAACAGCUUUCUGAGAGAUGGGGUGAAAGACCCAGAGUACGAAACCUCAGUUUGAGAUUUUGCUUCACUUACUUUAGCAAAUUAUUUCACUGAUUUGCAGUUAUGUUCUUUUCAUCUUGGAUCAGAGUCAAUCUUGACCUAGCUCACAGUUGCUGUGAUGUUCCAGCAUAUUGGUAUAUAUGAAAAUAUUUUGUAAGCCAAAAGGAGCCAUGCAAAUAUAAGAAGUAAUGACACUGAUGAUGAUGGAGAAAGGAGAGUAGCAAGAGAAAAGAGAGGAAGAAGAGAAGGAGGGAAGGAAAGGAAGGGCCUUUCAUUUUCUUCCAUCAGUCAUGCUCACAGAUAUAUCUUCCGUAGCACUGCCAGCAACCACAAUGUGUGCAGCUGUCGCCCUGAGUUCCAAUGCUGGCACUACUGUUAUCCAGUAUGUAACUUGAACAAGUCACUUGCCUCAGUUUCUUCAAAUAGACAUUGAGUAAUUCAGGCUGAAGUUUUAAAUUCUGAAAGGUUUCUGGUGCUCCAUAAACUUUAAUGAAAUAGAGAUUCACUUUCUUUAAAAUUUAAAGGGUAGGAGCACCUGAGUGGUGCAGUCAGUUGAACAUCUGACUCUUGGUUUUAGCUCAGAUCAUGAUCUCAGGUUUUCCAGAGUGAGCCUGCAUCCAGCUCCAUACUCAGCAUGGAGUCUAAGACUCUCUCUCCCACUCUAAAAUAAAAAAAUAAAUCUUUGAAAAAUUUCAGAGUAGUAUCCCAUUUAUUUCAAGGCUUCAUCAUGGGGAAAUAACCAUUUUUAAGUACAGAAUUAAUAACUAUCAGUUACAAUAUAUUUUGUGAAGGUUUAACAAAUAAUCAUAGAUAUUUGUUCUUUUAAAACAUACAUAUUACCUUUGUCUUGUAUCAUUCCCUAAGUUAUCAGCCUCAUCACUCUAACUAGAUAGCGCAUCUCCUCAGAAGAAAAAUCACUAAACAUUUUCAUUUCCUUUACACUGUCUAGCAACAUAACAGGCACAUGCCAGAUGCCCAAAUGAAAUUUGUGCCAAAUGUGUAACAUGUAGAAACUGAACUGUUCCUUUAUAACCCCUCUACCUGCAGCAAGAGGAAAAAAAAAAAUUAUGGCUAACCAUGGAGUUCUGAGGGUAUCUCAAAACACAAGACGCAAAAUAAUAUUUAUAAUUUUUUUUGCCAACCAAAAGUACUGGAUAGAACUAUAGAUUUACUAACCCAAAACACAGUGGGGCAGAAGCCUGAGACAGAGGAUGAGGAAGCAUUUGCGUACAAUGUAAUGAUACCACUUCUUUUGCAGAAGCAAAAAUUCAGGACAUGAAGAUUACAAAAGUGAGAAACUGACUCAGGAAUACAGUACAUGCUUCAAGUAACAGUGACUGUGGUUAUUUAGGAUUUAGAGUUUGGCUUUUUUAAGAGGAAAAUAAGCCCUUUCCACAAACCAAAUGCAACAUACUUCAAUAUUUGUUGCAGAGAAACUGCAUAUUACCAGUGAGGUUUGGUGAAUGAAGGUGAACCAGGCCAGUUGUGCACUAAGAACAAAAAGUCAAAUGGACUAUAAAAAGUUACACUAUACAAAGCUUAUUUUGUUCUUGCCUACUAAAAGUAUUUUAUCUGUCUUUACAUUAUCAGUCUACUUGAACACACACUGAUCUUGUCUGUGUAAACAGCAUUUUUUCCUCACUUCCUUUAAAUAUUUUAGUCAAAUUGAAAACAUAACAUAAAUAUGCCAAAUUGAAUUUCAUCUGAAUUAGUUGAAGAACACAAACUGACUGCUCAUAUUGCUAACUUUAUUAAUGACUCCUUAAUUAACAAGGUUUUAAGUACCUGUAGUUUGAGGAUUAACACAUAUUGAAAAUAACGGUGAGAAAUAACCCAAUUUACAAUAUCAGGAGAUGAUAAUGAUUUUGCAGAAAGAAACAAGGUCUAAUAAAAAUAAUCUAAGUUCCUAAUACCACUUACUGACAAACACAGCUUUACAUCAUGCUAAAAUUACAUAUUUAUCUCCUCAUUAGCAACUAAUCUCACUUAUUCUUCUUGCCAAACCAAUUAUGAGAAAAUUUUCAGACUCAAAGGAAUUAAUAGGACACUUGGACCUCUCUCAGUCUUCUCAUGACUCAAGUAAUUAGCAAGCACUUGUAUAUGAAAUCCAAAUGGUUUUCCUAAACUAAUUAAUGAAAUGAAGGACAUCAAAAUGUUAUCAACUCAUAGCAACUCAAGUCCCAUAUUCCAAUAGUCCUCAAGUAGAUAGAAUAAUUGCCAGAUGUUGACAGGGUCUUUCUGGUCAACUCAGAGAUUACUCAGGGGGUGAAAAUGAGGAGGGAGAAAGAAAGGUAGUUUCUUAUCGAAUACAACAAACUAUUUAUGUGAUAAAGGAAUACUUUAUAGGCAAUGCUCUGUAUAUUAAACAGCUUCUGGAUCCACCAACUCUUUAAGCACAUAAUACAAGGUAAAUAAAUGAUUAUAGCAGAAAUUUGCAUUUAUAUGAUAUUUUCUUCCAAGUAGCUUAAAAAACACAAGGCUAAGCUACCUUCUCAAAAUUUCAUAAAAGCUUGGAAUUUCUGAAAAGAAAUUUGGAAAGUUUGAUUCUCUGACCAGCUCCUUAUUUUCUGUGCCCUUUCAACCAUUCAUUUCAGAAAUCAAACUGUAACCAUGCGUUAGACUUUCUUGUUGCCUCUUCUCCUUCCACAUCUCCAAACUUCAAUUAAGAGUUUCCAUUGUACCGCCUACAGGUUUUUCUUUCUCCUCAAGGUUUUCUCACUGACUGACUCAGCGGUUCAAAGCAGACUUUUUACAGACAUAUUAUAGGUUAUAAAUUAAUUUCAUUAGCUGUUCUUAAUCUCUAAUUUUUUAAAAGAUUGAAAUUAAUAGUAAAUCAGGAAUUCAAUUUAGUUUGAGUAGAGAUUUUGUGUUUUUUAAUGAAAGUGAAGCCCUUCGAGAGAUCUUUAAAUAGUUGUACAUCGCUAUAUAUACAUAUACAUAUACUAUCCUAGAUAAGGAUAGUACAUCGACUUUCUCUGAAGCCCACGGCAUAUCAGAUCCUACAGCUGUUAGGUUUGUUCCUAGUAAAGAGUACAAAUCCAGAGCCUGGCUCAAAAUAAGCACUGCAUGUGUGUGCACGUGUGUGUUUGAGUGUGAGUGUGUGCGUGUGUAUGUAUAAAAGGAGGGAGGGGGUUGGCAUAUACAUCUCAGAAAUCAUUUAAACCCUAGAUUCAGAAAAGAACAGUUAAAAAUUCCUUCCGUGAUGCUAGCUAGGCCCCAACAAGACAGAGAACAAACAGAACUUCAUUCAUUUCUUCUCCAGAGACACUAGUAAUAUUAAAAUAAUGGUAAAAUUAAUGGGCAGAAGUUGCUUCUGGUCAUUAGUAUUUUUGCCUGAAAUCUGUGAAACAAAAAAUAUUCCCUCAUACCAAGUAAACCAAAUUUCUGAAAUCUUUAACCUAUGAUUAAACCACUGAUCAACAUAGUUAUUUUCCCACUUCUUAAUUCAGAGAAGCAGCUUCACCUGAUCUGAAAUCUCAGGAAGCAUUUUCAAUUUCUUUGGGAAAAUGCCUGACAGACUUCUUUUUAAUCUCCCUUUAGAUAAAGCUCUCUGAAGAUCAAAGGGGCCUCACUCAGGCAGAUGUGUUUUGCUGUCAAUGGUUAAGAGGGAAAAACAGACUUCAAGCAAACUGCUCAGAGAAUCCUUAAAUAAUUAAGCAUUAAAUGGAGAAUAUAAAGUCUUCAGAAAGGUCAAUGGAUAAGGAAAAGCAUGGCAUUCACUCACAAAAAAAAAAAAAAAAAAAAAAAAAAAAAAAAA
rnacentral:lncRNA from 1 species